UGGCUCAGUGGUAGAGCGUUUGCCUUGCAUGCAUGAAGCCCUGGGUUCGAUUCCUCAG
rnacentral:tRNA from 1 species